AUAUAACUGUGAUAAGUGAACUGUUACUGCAAUAGCCGGUUAAGGCAGGCCCUGAAAUGCAUACAUAAAUUUGAAAUUGGUAAGAAUAAUUCUUCUUUAUGUAGUUUUCUAUCAUGCGAACUUGAGUCGCUGGUGUAAAGAUAAUCUCCACUUUAGCUAGUGCUUUUUUUUCUGUUCGCAGAGCAAAUGCGCUUCGCCCAAGCAUAACCCAAAUUGAUUAUAUACAGAAUUUGCGGUGCAUAUUUUUUUCGUGAAGCCGACAUUUUUUUAAUGAAAUACAGCACUUUAUGAAUACAUUUCAAAUUUGCUUACAUAUGUAUAUAUUUUUUCUAUUUGCAGAAAAAUGGGACAUUAUCAGUGUAUUCGUAGCUGAAAUGCCAUUGAAAGGACUAAGGUUAUAGAAUCAUGUAACGGUUCUUUGCAAACCUCUAGGCUGUCUGCCAUACAUCAACGUGGAGCAAAAUUCCUAAUUUAGGUGCUGGAAGUGUUGGAAAUGCUUAUCCAUGGCAAUAUGCUGUAAAUGUGAACACAUUCAAUAAAGAAACAGUUGAAA